rnacentral:rRNA from 1 species
AGUGAACGCUGGCGGUAGGCCUAACACAUGCAAGUCGAACGGCAGCACAGUAAGAGCUUGCUCUUACGGGUGGCGAGUGGCGGACGGGUGAGGAAUACAUCGGAAUCUACUUUUUCGUGGGGGAUAACGUAGGGAAACUUACGCUAAUACCGCAUACGACCUACGGGUGAAAGCAGGGGAUCUUCGGACCUUGCGCGAUUGAAUGAGCCGAUGUCGGAUUAGCUAGUUGGCGGGGUAAAGGCCCACCAAGGCGACGAUCCGUAGCUGGUCUGAGAGGAUGAUCAGCCGCACUGGAACUGAGACACGGUCCAGACUCCUACGAGAGGCAGCAGUGGGGAAUAUUGGACAAUGGGCGCAAGCCUGAUCCAGCCAUACCGCGUGGGUGAAGAAGGCCUUCGGGUUGUAAAGCCCUUUUGUUGGGAAAGAAAAGCAGCAGGUUAAUACCCCGCUGUUCUGACGGUACCCAAAGAAUAAGCACCGGCUAACUUCGUG